AUCUAAGGCCAUACCACCUUGAAUGUUCUGAUCUCGUCUGAUCUCAGAAGCUAAGCAGGGUAGGGCCUGGUUAGUAUUUGGAUGAGAGACCAUCUGGGAAUACUAGGUGCUGUAUCUU
rnacentral:rRNA from 1 species